UACGAAGGGGCUAGCGUUGUUCGGAAUUACUGGGCGUAAAGCGCACGUAGGCGGACUAUUAAGUCAGGGUGAAAUCCCGGGCUCAACCCCGGAACUGCCUUUGAUACUGGUAGUCUCGAGUCCGGAAGAGGUGAGUGGAAUUCCGAGUGUAGAGGUGAAAUGCGCAGAUAUCGGGAGAACACCGGUGGCGAAGGCGGUUCUCUGGCCUGUGCUGACGCUGAGGAGCGAAGCGUGGGAGCGAACAGG
rnacentral:rRNA from 1 species